AAUCCAUGUUAAUAACUGCUACUGCUGCUUCAUGUACUUGCUUGAUAGGGCUGGAGUCAUCCCAGGUCAGUGAUCCCAGAGACGUCAUCAUGUGUAUGAUGUGGAUCUUUUCCCUACCAGUAUACGAAGUUUUAAAGUGUUUAGUUAACUAGAAAUUGUGUUGACAUGUGCCGUUCAAAAGGAAAAGAUCCACACAUUCUACCAGUAGACGAAGUUUAAAAGUUUUUAUUUACAAAGAAAUUAUUAAAAAAAUCUGCCGGUCAAAGCGAAAAGAUCCGCACUAUAUACUCUGACAAAACUAAUACUACCAAAUAGCCAGUCAUUAUUAAUAACAGUACCCACUGUUAGGCCACCACUAAAAUCGCCAUCUCUGCUAUAUCAACUCCAGUACCAGCCAACCAUCACCACCACCGCCGCCGCCGCCAUCACCACCACCACCAUCACUAUCAACAUUACUGCAAGUAUUAUCACAUUAAGAUUGUCAGCAGGAAACCCCACACCACCACCAUCACCACCGUUAGAAGUGCCGCUACCAUGGCCAUCACUACGCCAAUGCUAUUCCACCACCUCCACGCCUAACGUCUCUCUACUACAAACAUCAUCAGUUUCCAACCAUUGAAUAACUUACCGCAGAUUCCUUUACAAGCAACUAACAGUAAUAUUGGUUGAAGUGAAUGCUUUUCUCUCUUAUCAAGACUCACAUCUCAAAGUAACAAUUGAAUAACAUUCUGGGCAGGUGACAGAUACAGAAUUUCAUACCUGAUUAGCCCAUACAAUAUUCAAAUAUUGGAGCAGCCAACACUCAAUGAAACCCACAAUUUUUUUCUAUCUGAAUAUAAUAAUCCAGUGAUGGAGACAAGGAAUGACUACACUGAUAAAUUUAAUCAUUAACUAGAAAUACUCAGUAAAAUCCCACAAUUACUUCUAUGUAUACAACUAUUUUAUUUUAAAACAUAUAUUGUCUUACAAAAACAGAAGUUAAUUUAAUGAAUACAAUUAAUUUAAGGAAAACAGAGAAAGCAUGAAAUCUGGGAGAAAAUAUCUUCAGUUGACUGAACCAAGGAUAUCAGAAUAUCUCUCUUACUCUGAAGUGGUGUAAUAUCAUCCUUACCAGAGUAAUAUCGCCUUCAUCUUCAAAACUUAGAAAUACUAUAAUUUAAUAGAAGAAUUAUGUUGCAAUAGAUAUAUGAUUUCAAACAGAAUUCACUGAGAAUACACAACAACAACAGAAAAAGAUAAAAGCAGCAAUUAUAAUUAAUGACAUAAUUUUCCAUUGAUUUUUAAUUUCUUUUAUUUGCCACAAUUGCAAGAUGUUUAUAAAAUAGAAUGACACAUUUGUUUUGGCAUUUAAGACUUUUAUAACAAUAAAAAUCGUAAUAAUUUGGGAUAUUGUAUUUAUUUUCAAGCAUUCAUAAAGAUUCUAGCUUUCAUAUUUCCUCCUCUAUAGAAAAAUGCCACUCCUUCACCGGAUUCUUCGAGAUAACAUAGAAAUGGCUGUAUCUACAUUAUCAUCUCUAAAUCAAACUGUUCCUGUCGUUGGGAAUGUAAACAUACCAAUCAUACGGAAUCUCAACAACUCAUCUACAGAUUCAGGAAUACUGAACACCUCUGUGGACAAUUCCCUUACUUCAGGCCAGAUUAAAAUGAGUGAGUUACUAAUCAUCAAAGUAGUAGUACUCGUUGGUGUGGUUAGUAUCUUGCUAUUAUCAUCUUGCCGUUUUGUCUUUAAAAUGUUUUCUCGUUACAUAACGGACAGUAAAGAUGACAGGGAUCUUUCUUUUGGAUAAAUACUUUGCUCAGCAUCCCAUCACCAUAGCCAUUCCCAAUAUCACUGUAAUACCCUUCUUCAAUUUGACUGAACUUUUCAAUAAAUUCUCCAGAAGAAAAAAAGAAAUAACUGGUUGAAUAUUUUCACAGAAAACUGACUGAAAUAUAAAUAUCUUCCUUAUCCUUUCUAAUUGCUUAGUUCUCAAGAUUGUUUUCUGCUGCAGAAAUAGAGACUAAAUUUUAAAUUAAAAGAAAAGUUUAUGAAAUAUUCAUUAUUUUUUAAAGGAUUUUAUUCACAGUUUUGAAAUAAAUAAAGAAAAUGCUUGAG